rnacentral:rRNA from 1 species
UUGAAAGGGAAACGAUUGAAGUUGUCGAACGUUCGAAAGCAGCCUUUCGAGUGUGAUUCUGUGGGGAUUGAGGACUUAACACCUUCAUGCUUUGAAUAUUCGUGCUCUUGAAGGUAUUUGCCCGUGUCGUUGAUUCACAUCAAUGUUGGUGGUCAUAAAAUGACUGUCGGAAGGAGGCUACGAUCUUGUCUUGAAGUUGUUAUAGCCUUCGGUAGAUGUGAUGAUCGAGAUUGAGGAUUGCAACGGAUACCCUUCGGGGUACCUGUAGNGACUCUGAUCGCNGCUCUCGAGCCGAAAGCUUGCUUACGGUUAUAAUAAUCGAUGGUCAAUAGGUUAGAACGGGUUAAAUUCGUUAAGGAUGUUGACGUA